UACAGAGGUCUCAAGCGUUGUCCGGAAUUAUUGGGCGUAAAGAGCUCGUAGGCGGUCUGUCGCGUCUGGUGUGAAAACUCAGGGCUUAACCCUGAGCUUGCAUCGGGUACGGGCAGACUAGAGUGCGGUAGGGGAGACUGGAAUUCCUGGUGUAGCGGUGAAAUGCGCAGAUAUCAGGAGGAACACCGGUGGGCGAAGGCGGGUCUC
rnacentral:rRNA from 1 species